rnacentral:rRNA from 1 species
UACGGGGGGGGCAAGCGUUGUUCGGAAUUACUGGGCGUAAAGGGUUCGUAGGUGGCUCGCUAAGUCAGACGUGAAAUCCCUCAGCUUAACUGGGGAACUGCGUCUGAGACUGGCAAGCUUGAGUGCAGGAGAGGAACGCGGAAUUCCAGGUGUAGCGGUGAAAUGCGUAGAUAUCGGGAGGAACAUCAGUUGCGAAGGCGGCUCUCUGGACCAGCACUGACACUGAGGCACGAAAGCGUGGGGAGCAAACAGG